UGUGUGUGUGUGUGUGUGUGUGUGUGUGUGUGUGUGUGUGUGUGUGUGCGCGCGCAUGCAACUGCACACAGACAUGCGCCCACACACA
rnacentral:pre_miRNA from 10 species